rnacentral:tRNA from 2 species
GGCUCCAUGGUGUAAUGGUGAGCACUCUGGACUCUAAAUCCAGUGAUCUGAGUUCAAACCUCAGUAGAACCU